AUUAAAUGCUGUGUACUCUGAGGUCGAGGUUCUCUGGUGAGUAGCCGGAUCUCUCAUGUUGAGGUUAAAGAUGCUGGAGUUAGAGGAGGGAAACCUUCAGCCUGUCUUAAUUAGGCCCACUUCAGACAGGCAAAGACGCCUCAGCCACCGUCCCCUCCCCCUGUGAAUGCAGACAGUCAACCCGAGAUAAAGAUGCUUUGGCUGCUGAGGGGAGAUUGGCAGCUCUGAGUGGCCAGCAGAUGAAGCGGCUGGCACGCUAAUGAAUAGAACGCUGAUUGCAGGAUCCCCAAGAUGCAAAUUACCGUGCCUGCCACCCCUGACGACCGGCAAUUACCGGGCCGCCGCGGCGGACGCCUCGUGCAUAUUCAUCGCACCCGCUGGGCAUAUUGAUCAACAACUUACUUCAAGCAAGAAGCACUAAAAAAUGUAUCAUGUUGCUCAGUCAGUGCUAAAAAAACCACACUCUCUUUUCCUUGUUGUCAGAAUCGACACAGUAAUAUCCAAUAGGACAAGCCCUUUAACUAUGUAAGGAGUAUUUAUUUUAAUCAGGCUCAGAUAUAGGCUAAUUGCUAAUAUGUUACAUUCUGAAAGAUGUGACAAAACAUGUCAUUCAUUAGGAAAUAGUGUUAAUUCAAAUAUUAAUUCCUGCUAGUACUUUACCUAAUUAACUGCACUUAAAGGUCACGGCCCCUGGUACUGACAUGCAGCUUUAAGUUUUGUCUUAUUUUGGCAAAUAUUUCAGUUUUUAUAGAUUUAUUUUGUAAUUUAUAUCACACAAAAUGAGGUGAAGUAUUAAAUGCGAUUCAUUUUUUCCAAAUUGACUUAACACCAUUUACGCCUAUCAAAGAUUAGUUCAGUUUCACUUAGUUUUCACGUGUCAUUAGUCUUUGAAAGUCAGAAUUAUGUCAUUAUAAUAAUAGCUGUUCAUAAGGGGCUGUGUUAAAGUGACAAGUGUUUUUCCUGUUUUCAUGCUGUUAGCAUACACCUUCUCUUACCCUGUUAUUUCAAAUCUGUAUUUAACCCUCAGUGUGUCAGUAUCAGUGUUAAGUUCUCCUGCUUUAGUUAAAAAUUUAUGCAAAUGAUA